UUAGUAGGCUGGUGGUUCAUUCAUUCAUUCAACACACUAUUAGCAGAUAAUGCUGAACUUGAGUAAUAACUAUGAUGGGCACCAGCCAAUGCACUCAACAUGAGCUGACCUCUGAGGUUUCCACAAACGUGGAAAAUUCUACCACAUCGUUUGUGGUAAUGGGGGACUGCUUCCAUGCUCUCCCCUG
rnacentral:snRNA from 1 species